UACGAAGGUGGCAAGCGUUGUUCGGAUUUACUGGGCGUACAGGGAGCGUAGGCGGUUGGAUAAGCCCUCCGUGAAAUCUCCAGGCUUAACCUGGAAAGUGCAGAGGGGACUGUUCAGCUAGAGGAUGGGAGAGGAGCGCGGAAUUCCCGGUGUAGCGGUGAAAUGCGUAGAGAUCGGGAGGAAGGCCGAUGGCGAAGGCAGCCCCCUGGGCCAAUACUGACGCUCAUGCACGAAAGCGUGGGGAGCAAACAGG
rnacentral:rRNA from 1 species